UGCGCAGGCGGUUGGGUGUGUCAGAUGUGAAAUCCCGAGGCUCAACCUCGGAACUGCGUCUGAAACUACUCGACUAGAGUACUGGAGAGGGUAACGGAAUUCACGGUGUAGCAGUGAAAUGCGUAGAUAUCGUGAGGAACACCAGAGGCGAAGGCGGUUACCUGGACAGUUACUGACGCUCAGGCACGAAAGCGUGGGGAGCAAAAGGGAUUAGAUACCCCUGUAGUCCACGCCCUAAACGGUGCACACUAGGUCUUGGCGGAUUCGACCCCACCAGGGCCCAAGCUAACGCGUUAAGUGUGCCGCCUGAGGACUACGGUCGCAAGACUAAAA
rnacentral:rRNA from 1 species